GGGGGUAUAGCUCAGGGGUAGAGCAUUUGACUGCAGAUCAAGAGGUUCCUCCUGUUCAAAUCCAGGUGCCCCCU
rnacentral:tRNA from 1 species